GAAUAUUGGACAAAGGGGGGAACCCUGAUCCCGCCAUGCCGCGCGUGCGAAGAAGGCCUUUUGGUUGUAAAGCACUUUAAGAGAGGAGGAGGCUACCCUAGUUACUACCUAGAGAUUGUGGACGUUACUCGCAGAAUAAGCACAGGCGAACUCUGUCCCAGCACCCGCGGUAAUACAGAGGGUGCAAGCGUUAAUCGGAUUUACUGGGCGUAAAGCGCGCGUAGGUGGCCAAUUAAGUCAAAUGUGAAAUCCCCGAGCUUAACUUGGGAAUUGCGUUCGAUACUGGUUGGCUAGAGUAUGGGAGAGGAUGGUAGAAUUCCAGGUGUAGCGGUGAAAUGCGUAGAGAUCUGGAGGAAUACCGAUGGCGAAGGCAGCCAUCUGGCCUAAUACUGACACUGAGGUGCGAAAGCAUGGGGAGCAAAC
rnacentral:rRNA from 1 species